UAUUUCGGUAUACCGAAAUACCAAAAUAGUUUAGUCCAAGCCCAACUUUAUUUUUAUUUUUUAGACCAAUAACCUUAAGCCCGCACCCCAAAAGUCCAAAAUCCCUAAUUCCCUAUAUUCCUUACCCUUAGGCUUAGUCGCUUAGAGGCAGACAAGAAUUUCAAAAAACCCUCACGACUUUGCUUGGUUGCUGUGGCGGUCGGAUUCACGAGUUACGACUCACGACUACAACCUCGGCGACGACGACUCCUCUCAUCGGCGAUUGCUUGUUUGCUCAUUGUUGACCUUCAUUCAGGUUCAUAACUUCUCUAUUCUUCAUUGUUGAUCUUCAUUCAUGCGAGCUAUAAUCACAUUUAUGAGCUAUAACAAUUUGUAGGUCCAGAAUUAUUAACUUCUAAAGUUGUUGUGGCCUUUUUAUGUAGCUCUACUUAAGUCUAAUAGAGUUACUAUGGUGUUCUAUAUUUAGAGAUGCGUUAGGUCAUAGUUGUCAGAAUGUGUUCAUCUUUGAGGUUUAGCUUAUUGUACCGGUGUGUUCAACAACCCUAAUUUACUUUUUCCGAGAUCUAUGUCUACUAUGUGUAUUACAUUACCAGAUCAAUGAAGAACAUAUUGUAGUAUUUUGAUUACCAGAUCAAUUUGGAUUAGUUUUCUUAGAGGGUUAGAGCUUUUGCUAUAGAGUAUUAGAGCUUUUGCUACUACCAACAGAUUACUGCGUAAUCUACCUAUAUUUAUGUAUGUUAUUCUAAAAUUUUGGCUUUUUUCUAGAUUAAUCAUACUAGAAGUAGAAAAUGACUACUUUAUUUAUUUCUAGGAAUGACAAACUAACUAGAUGGGGAAUAGUUUUUCCUUAUGGUGUGUGAUCUGCUCUUGUACUAGGCUGUUCUCUGUUAAUUACGCGACCAUUCGCCCUUGUAGUGUUUUGCUUGUAGUGUUCUAUUUAGUGUUUUUGUUUUAACAAUUUGUGUUUAUAUUUGUUUUAAUUUUGUAUAGAUGGCGGAUGAAAGUAGAGUAAGUGAUGUUGGUUCAACUGAAAGCUUACCUAUUACUGAUGAUAGCAAUGCUAACACAAUUAAUACUCAAGAUUCUAAGAAAAGAAAAGUCAUAGAACCUAGAUCAGAAGUUUGGAAAUAUUUUGAUAAAUUUCAGGAAAAUGGGGUCGGUAAAGCAAGGUGUAAAUAUUGUAAGCAAGCUUAUGCUACUAAUUCAUCUAAGAAUAGAACAACAGGAUUGAGAAGUCAUUUGAAUAGAUGCAAAGAAUACCCACCUAACAUUGAUAAAGAUAAUACUCAGACAAGGAUAAACAUUCAAUCUUGUCAAAAUGAUAGAGGAUCGCUUUGGAAAUUCGAUCAAAAAGUGAUUAGGAGGGCUUUAAUUGAGAUGAUAGUUAUUGAUGAACUACCAUUUAGCUUUGUAGAAAAGGAAGGCUUUAUGAAGUUUAUGAGAAUAUCUCAACUACUAUUUCGUCUUCCUUCUCGUAGAACAAUAACAAGGGAUUUGUGUUUGGAUGUUCUUACUAGGUGGAAUUCCACCUAUUUGAUGUUGGAUACGGCACAAAACUUUGAAAAGGCCUUUGGCAAGUUUCAUCUUUUUGAUGAUGGAUUUUCUGCUUAUCUAUGUUCUCCUCUUUGUGAAGAUGGUAGUAGUGCAGGGCCUCUUGAAUCUGAUGAUUGGGUGAAUGUGAGGAAUGUGAUAGAGUUUCUUGCAAGAUUUCACGAGCUCACCAAAAAAGUUUCAGGUUCACGUUAUGUCACUUGUAAUUCUCAUUUUGAUGAUGUAUCUGAACUUUAUUGUCAUUUGAAAAUGUAUUUAAUUAGUGAGGAUGAGCAUUUGAGAAAAAUGGCUGAGCGGAUGCAAGAAAAAUUCAAGAAAUAUUGGGGUGAGCCUGAAAAGAUGAAUAAAAUAAUUUUUAUUGCUUCCGUCUUGAAUCCACGUAACAAAUUUGAAUAUGUUAGCCUUGCACUUGAAGAACUUUUUGGGGAGGAAAAAGGGAAGAAAAUAAAUGCUGAGGUGUAUGCUUAUAUGGAUUCUUUGUUUGAAGAGUAUCUAAAAACGUAUUCAACUGGAUCUUGUCCUCAAUCUCCAUCUAGUUCUACUUAUCUAAUAACAUAUCUAAUAUAUCUAGUGGGAGUGUUAUAACUGCAUCAUUAAUAAGGACGGAGCUUCACUUGAAGAAACAAAAGGAAGACAAUGGAAGUGGGGGUACUAAAUCGGAGUUGGAUAAAUACAUUAAUGAAGAACAAAAGCCUUUUAGUAAAGAAUUUGAUAUCUUAAGUUGGUGAAAAAUAUAUGCUCCUAGAUUUUCUAUUCUUUCAGAGUUAGCUCGUGAUGUGUUGGCCAUUCCAAUUUCUAGUAUGGCGUCGGAAUGUGCGUUUAGUAUCGGUGGCCGUAUUCUUGAUUCAUUUAGGAGUUCAUUGACUCUUAAAUGUGUGCAAGCUCUUGUUUGUGUUCAAGAUUGGCUUAGAGAAGAGAAGAAUCCUAUUAGUGUUGAAGAAGACUGGGAGUAUCUUGAGGAACUCGAGCUUGAUAUGGAAAAUAAUGGAAGCACUACUAGCAUUGUUUGAUGUAUAGUUGCAACUUGAAACUUGAGUGGUUCAAGUGCAAUCAUGCCCGUGCUUCUAAAGUACGCUCUCAUAUUUGGGAAUACUUUGAGGUGAUAAAAGAUAGCGAAGAAGUUCGCAAAGUAGAGUGCAAGAAUUGUGGUCGAGUCUAUAAUGUUCAUCCAAAGAGGGAUGGCACAUAUUGUUUAAGGAAGCAUAUUAGGCGUUAUCUUGAGCGUCUUCCUGAAAUUCGUAUUUAAGAAUUAAGACUAAGUUGAUUCGAGACUAUUAGUGUAAACUUGAAUUAUGUUUGGCAAGUUUUUGCCCUCUCUGUUUUUGUUGCACUGUGUUUAAUUC